rnacentral:rRNA from 1 species
UACGAAGGGUGCAAGCGUUACUCGGAAUUACUGGGCGUAAAGCGUGCGUAGGUGGUUCGUUAAGUCUGAUGUGAAAGCCCUGGGCUCAACCUGGGGAAUGGCAUUGGAAACUGGCGAUCUAGAGUGCGGUAGAGGGUAGUGGAAUUCCCGGUGUAGCAGUGAAAUGCGGUAGAGAUCGGGAGGAACACCUGUGGCGAAGGCGGCCCCCUGGGCCGCGCCUGACGCUGAGACGCGAAAGCGCGGGGAGCGAACGGG